rnacentral:piRNA from 1 species
UGCCAGGUUUAUCCACGGGGAAUCCAGAA